rnacentral:misc_RNA from 1 species
GACGUGUCCCUCACGUAGGUGUGAGGAAGAGAAAAAGAGAGCCUCUCUGACUCCUUGCUUAUGGUUUGCUGCCCUGGACCCUUUUAUGGAAUGGUAUCUCGGUGAACAAGGUAGCUGUGUCACAGAUAUUCCGUUAAUAUACGUGGGAUGAAAGCCAAGCCCUUUCUUCUUCUUUCGGACUGGGAUUCGAUUUUUCAACUUCCAGAUACGGUUCGACAGAGGAAGCCGCGACUGAAGCGACUGUGAGAAAGAAAGAAUCUAUCGAACUUGGACCCCAUAGGAGUCAACCACAGACGGUUCCGCUCUAUUGUCG